GCCUUAUACAUGCAGUCGAACGAAGUAGCAAUACUUAGUGGCAGACGGGUGAAUAACAUGUGGGUAUCUUCCCUUUGGUGAGGAAUAACACGAGGAAACUUGUGCUAAUACCUCAUAAGUCUUUACGGAGAAAGCUUUAUGCGCCAAUGGAUGAGCCCGCACUUGAUUAGUUUGUUGGUGGGGUAAUGGCCUACCAAGACUUUGAUCAAUAGCUGAUUUGAGAGGAUGAUCAGCCACAUUGGGACUGAGACACGGCCCAAACUCCUACGGGAGGCAGCAGUAAGGAAUCUUGCACAAUGGAGGAAACUCUGAUGCAGCGAUGCCGCGUGAGUGAAGAAGGCCUUUGGGUUGUAAAGCACUUUCGUCGGGGAAGAAAAUGACUGUACCCGAAUAAGAAGGUCCGGCUAACUUCGUGCCAGCAGCCGCGGUAAUACGAAGGGACCUAGCGUAGUUCGGAAUUACUAGGCUUAAAGAGUUCGUAGGUGGUUAAAAAAGUUGGUAGUGAAAUCCCAGAGCUUAACUCUGGAACUGCUAUCAAAACUUUUUAGCUAGAGUAUGAUAGAGGAAAGCAGAAUUUCUAGUGUAGAGGUGAAAUUCGUAGAUAUUAGAAAGAAUACCGAUUGCGAAGGCAGCUUUCUAGAUCAUUACUGACACUGAGGAACGAAAGCAUGGGUAGCGAAGAGGAUUAGAUACCCUCGUAGUCCAUGCCGUAAACGAUGUGUGUUAGACGUUGGAAAUUUAUUUUCAGUGUCGCAGCGAAAGCGAUAAACACACCGCCUGGGGAGUACGACCGCAAGGUUAAAACUCAAAUGAAUUGACGGGGACCCGCACAAGUAGUGGAGCAUGUGGUUUAAUUCGAAGAUACGCGCAGAACCUUACCAACACUUGACAUGUUCGUCGCGACUCUAAGAGAUUAGAGUUUUCGGUUCGGC
rnacentral:rRNA from 1 species